rnacentral:rRNA from 1 species
CCUACGGGGGGCAGCAGUGGGGAAUAUUGGACAAUGGGGGGAACCCUGAUCCAGCCACGCCGCGUGUGUGAAGAAGGCCCUCGGGUUGUAAAGCACUUUCAGUGAGGAAGAACGCCUGGUGGUUAAUACCCAUCAGGAAAGACAUCACUCACAGAAGAAGCACCGGCUAACUCCGUGCCAGCAGCCGCGGUAAUACGGAGGGUGCGAGCGUUAAUCGGAAUUACUGGGCGUAAAGCGCGCGUAGGUGGCUUGAUAAGCCGGUUGUGAAAGCCCCGGGCUCAACCUGGGAACGGCAUCCGGAACUGUCAAGCUAGAGUGCAGGAGAGGAAGGUAGAAUUCCCGGUGUAGCGGUGAAAUGCGUAGAGAUCGGGAGGAAUACCAGUGGCGAAGGCGGCCUUCUGGACUGACACUGACACUGAGGUGCGAAAGCGUGGGUAGCAAACAGGAUUAGAUACCCUAGUAGUC